rnacentral:rRNA from 1 species
CAUCCCAGGUCAGGCGGGAUUACCUGCUGAGCUUAAGCAUAUCAAUAAGUGGAGGAAAAGAAACUUACAAGGAUUCCCCUAGUAAUGGAGAGCGAACCAGGAACAGCCCAGCCUUAAAAUUGGAUGGAUACGUUGUCCAA